UGGAGAGAUCCUGACACUAGAC
rnacentral:misc_RNA from 1 species